rnacentral:rRNA from 1 species
GAUGAACGCUGGCGGCGUGCCUAAUACAUGCAAGUCGAGCGAACGGACGAGAAGCUUGCUUCUCUGAUGUUAACGGCGGACGGGUGAGUAACACGUGGAUAACCUACCUAUAAGACUGGGAUAACUUCGGGAAACCGUAGCUAAUACCGGAUAAUAUUUUGAACCGCAUGGUUCAAAAGUGAAAGACGGUCUUGCUGUCACUUAUAGAUGGAUCCGCGCUGCAUUAGCUAGUUGGUAAGGUAACGGCUUACCAAGGCAACGAUGCAUAGCCGACCUGAGAGGUUGAUCGGCCCCACUGUAACUGAGACACGGUCCAGACUCCUACGGGAGGCAGCAGUAGGGAAUCUUCGUCUAUGGGCGAAAGCCUGACGGAGCACCGCCGCGUGAGUGAUGAAGGUCUUCGGAUCGUAAAACUCUGUUAUUAGGGAAGAACAUAUGUGUAAGUAACUGUGCACAUCUUGCCGGUACCUAAUCAGAAGGCCACGGCUAACUACGUG